UGUGUACCCUAGGGUUUCUGCCUAGGGUUCGGGAAGUAAGAAAGUGAUCUAUGAGUGUCGUGAGCCCACCAAUCUUCAGGGAAAGCUUCAUCAACCUCUCUACUACAUCUGCUAAUGAUCCAGAGCAUUCGAGCAGUCGACAGAUCAAGAUCAAAGGAGUUCGAUAAACAUCGGCCAUCAAAAGGGUUCAGCCACGAACUAGCAUUCUGAGGAGCCG
rnacentral:lncRNA from 1 species